UACGUAGGGAGCAAGCGUUGUCCGGAAUCAUUGGGCGUAAAGCGCGCGUAGGUGGCUUCGUAAGUCCGUUGUGAAAGUCAAAGGCUCAACCUUUGAAUGCCGAUGGAUACUGCGGAGCUAGAGUACGGAAGAGGCGAGUGGAAUUCCUGGUGUAGCGGUGGAAUGCGCAGAUAUCAGGAAGAACACCUAUGGCGAAGGCAGCUCUCUGGGACGGUACUGACGCUGAGACGCGAAAGCGUGGGGAGCGAACAGG
rnacentral:rRNA from 1 species